rnacentral:lncRNA from 1 species
AGAACAUAUCUACUGGACUACAAAGGGCAAAGACGACCUCCGUGGUAUUUGUUCAUAACAUACUAUCUGUAGGGUCCUUCCUUGGGGAAUCAAAUUAUCGAAAGGAUAUUUACGGAGGAUAUCAUUUAUUGGAGAAGAAAAACUACGAAUACAGCUAUAUCUUUAAAAAAAAAUCUCCAUUGUCCUACUUCUUCAGCCCUGGAUUGUUGGCUUUAAAUUCCAAGGGAAUUGUGGAUAAGGAGAUAAUGGAUGAAACCAAGAGUUUUCAAAUGAGUCCAGAAUCCUCUUUUUUGGUUCUUAAUCUUCAUCAAAUGUCUUCAGUUUUCUGCCUUUUAUGCAUUGGGAUAGGACUUACCUUUGUGGUUCUCCUCAUUGAACUCGUAAUAAUCUAUAUAAGAAAAAGAAAACCAGUAAUCAAAAAGUAAUAGAGCAAUGAUUUCAUUAUGAUUUUGUAGUUUUAAUAUCUAUUAAUCUCACUAGUAAACGAGUAUAUUUUUCUGAUUCACAAUACUAGGAAAGUUGCUCAACAUCUAUUUAUGUUAUUUAAAAAAACUUAGUCCUGUAUUUAAUAAACUAAACUUUAGAAUA